rnacentral:rRNA from 1 species
UACGAAGGGGGCUAGCGUUGCUCGGAAUCACUGGGCGUAAAGCGCACGUAGGCGGAUUGCUAAGUCAGGGGUGAAAUCCUGGAGCUCAACUCCAGAACUGCCUUUGAUACUGGCGAUCUUGAGUCCGGGAGAGGUGAGUGGAACUGCGAGUGUGGAGGUGAAAUUCGUAGAUAUUCGCAAGAACACCAGUGGCGAAGGCGGCUCACUGGCCCGGUACUGACGCUGAGGUGCGAAAGCGUGGGGAGCAAACAGGG